GUGAUUAAUUAUUGAGUGUAAAAAACUCAUAAUCUUCUAUACAAACCACUGUUUUAAAAUGUUUACUAGAAUGUCCAAGCAGUUAAGCUGUUGAAAUAUUAAAAGUUUAAUA
rnacentral:misc_RNA from 1 species